rnacentral:rRNA from 1 species
ACGUUAGCGGCGGACGGGUGAGUAACACGUGGGUAACCUACCUAUAAGACUGGGAUAACUUCGGGAAGCCGGAGCUAAUACCGGAUAAUAUUUCGAACCGCAUGGUUCGAUAGUGAAAGGUAGUUUUGCUAUCACUUAUAGAUGGACCCGCGCCGUAUUAGCUAGUUGGUAAGGUAACGGCUUACCAAGGCGACGAUACGUAGCCGACCUGAGAGGGUGAUCGGCCACACUGGAACUGAGACACGGUCCAGACUCCUACGGGAGGCAGCAGCU